GAUUUACUGGGUAGGAUAGAAUGCUAGUCGAGUGGCUCAGCCAAUACGAGCCACGGCAUACAGCUCAGUAACACGUGGCUAAUCUGCCCUUAGGACGAGAACAACCCCGGGAAACUGGGGCUAACUCUCGAUAGGCGAAGAACUCUGGAAUGAGUCUUCACCUAAAUAGUUCGGCGUUAUGCUCGUUGGACCGCCUAAGGAUGAGGCCGCGACCGAUCAGGUUGUUGGUGAGGUAAUGGCUCACCAAGCCUUUUACCGGUGCGGGCCGUGAGAGCGGGAGCCCGGAGAUGGGCACUGAGACAAGGGCCCAGGCCCUACGGGGCGCAGCAGUCGCGAAAACUUUGCAAUACACGAAAGUGUGACAGGGCUAUCCCGAGUGCCAUCCGCUGAGGAAGGCUUUUACCCAGUCUAGAAAGCUGGGGGAAUAAGGAGAGGGCAAGUCUGGUGUCAGCCGCCGCGGUAAUACCAGCUCUCCGAGUGGUGUGGAUGUUUAUUGGGCCUAAAGCAUCCGUAGCUGGCUAAGUUAGUCCCUUGUUAAAUCCACCGAAUUAAUCGUUGGAUCGCGGGGGAUACUGCUUGGCUAGGGGACGAGAGAGGCAGACGGUAUUUUCGGGGUAGGGGUGAAAUCCUAUAAUCCCGGGAAGACCACCAGUGGCGAAGGCUGUCUGCUAGAACGCGCCCGACGGUGAGGGAUGAAAGCUGGGGGAGCGAACCGGAUUAGAUACCCGGGUAGUCCCAGCUGUAAACGAUGCAGGCUAGGUGCUUGGACGGCCACGUGCCGUUCUAGUGCCGCAGGGAAGCUGUUAAGCCUGCCGCCUGGGGAGUACGAUCGCAAGAUUGAAACUUAAAGGAAUUGGCGGGGGAGCACCACAAGGGGUGAAGCUUGCGGUUUAAUUGGAUUCAACGCCGGA
rnacentral:rRNA from 1 species